CGAAAAAAGGACAUUUCGCAGUGAAAACAAUACAUUUUUGAGGUGAAAUAAGAUACUUUGACGUGAACACAAUAUACUUUUAAGUGAAAGCAAGACAAUCUGAGGCGAAGGCAAGAUAUUUUGUGGAGAACACAAGACAUUUUCAGGCACUUCGCAGAAUUGCUUUUUUCCACGAUAAUGAGCAAGAACGGGGUCCUGGAGCCCUCUGGUGGAUGUCUUGCAGAAGACAGGCAGCUGAAAGCGGUCUGGUUCUGCUAAGGAAGCCUCUGGCAUGGCUUCAGGGGAAUGUUCAGGAACCAUUUUGAUGAAUUCCAAUUAAGAGUCUUCCUGACACCAGGGGACGCAGAGGUCAAAGAAUGCCCUGUGCAGCACAGCAACAGACCACACAGCGCACAGCUCAAGCAGCUGGGAAUAGUGCCCCUGCCCACACACUCCCUAUGGUCCAUGGCUGCCAUCGCGGGAUACGUCCAUCACCUGAUGUCAUCACUGCCUUAUCCCUGCUCUCCAUCACUGCCAUGCAACAGCCACUGCGAACAGACUGCCCCAGCCCUUGGUACCAGGAUCCAACUGAUCUUGUGCAGGUAGAGCGUGUCCCGCACCACUGGCUACCUGGCUUCUGCAGCCACCCUACGCGUCCACUGAGUUUCCUCGGGGCUUCUCCACUCUGCUCCUCCUGUUCUCCUUUGCUUUAUUACAUGGAUUCUUGGUGGAGCUUUCGCAGCCCUCACUGUUCUGGCAGGUCAGCCUGUCACUGGCAUGUCACCUUGAUUCCUGCUGUGCCUCAGUGCCAUGUCACCUUGAUUCCAUAGCAGAAUUGCCCUUGUCUCUCAUUGCCAUGUCGCUUGACCCCGUAACAGUGUCAUCACUAUCUUCCACUGCCAUGGCACCCUGAUGCACUGUUAAACCUGUUCUGUGUCCCAUUGCCAUGUCACCAACAACCCUCUAAAUUUGCCUGCCCAUUGCCAGCUAUUCCUAUCCCUUUUGCAUUUUAUUUUGUCAUUAACCUGAGAUCCUCAUGGAUCCAGGCCCCGUGCUCCCCCUGACUCCUGCAGUCCUUAUGUCCAUGAGAAGAUGUGACAGUCGCCCCCCUGAAGGCAGGCAGAUGCAGGGUACAGCUCCUCUAGAGCGAACAAGAAGAUCCCAAGAGAGACAGGACCAGCACAGCUAGGGAGCAGCCUCUGUGCAGGUGGGCACGGGAGCAGGCAGAGACGCUGGGAGGAGUUGUUGCUGACUCCUGCUGACACAUUGGCUGCAACAACCCCUCCCAGAAUGAGUCAAAAAAACAGGAGAAGAUCCAACCACAAACUAAGUACCCAUAAAUAAGCAGUCAGACAAGCACACAUCCGCAGCAGUCACACAAAUAAACUUAAAGAGAAGCUCUGUGCAUAAGUAAAGACUCAUAAAACGUAGCCAAUAGCAUUUAAAAACACAAGAAUGCAAUCUGGGACACAAAGAAGUACUAAUGCAGGUGCAUGUCAAUUAGGUGUAAUUUCUGAAUAAACAAAUAACUUACAAAAAUGUACAUAUGCUACCUAAGUGAAAACCUGGAACUCAGUGGAACUUCCGUAAAUUCACAUAUAUAAACUUAAAUCAUGUAAACAAAUACAAACUAUUUACAUAAAUGAACAACCUUCACACAGGCAAGAACAACCGAUAUGUGUAUAGAGAACAUACACACAAAUGUCUGACCCCAAUGCAAAUGCACAUCUGUACAAACUAUGUGCAGGGGUGCACAGCACUAACAGGUUCCAUAUGGAUAUCUAGCAACCACAGAGAUACAAUGACACCCCAAGUUUGUAACAACACAUACACACAGAAUAUCUAUACAAAUAUACAGCACUCACGUGUAUCUUAAAAUGUGGAUACAAGUACCUGGCGUUCACAGAAUACAUAGCACUGGUUCUGAGCCAUACAUGCCCAGACAUCCGUAUGAUCCACAGUAUGCAUCCUCCUACGAGGCAGUAUUGUACACAGCUUAACGUACACAUUUUCCAGGUCUCUGUGGGCAUGCACAAAAACACGGGUCCAACCUGCCACUCACCCCAGUACACAGACAUAGAUAAGAGGAGAUCCUAACCCAGUAAUCCUGCCACAGGAACACAAAACCAAAUUGGUGUGCAUUCCUAGAUACACAAAUACACAGGCAGACGCACGCAGAUACAGCUGAAGCCAGACCAGCCAGUCUUCAGAUAGUACCAAACCAUGCCAAACUGAGCAGCAGCGUAAGCUUUAGAAACAGCAGUCUGUCCAAACUGCUGCCUGUGAUGUAAGCUGUUAACUCUGCCUUACCUGCAGCCCUCCUGAGCCAUGUACUCCCCAAGCUCCCAGGGUGCCUGUGUGCAUGCACAGACAGACAGACAGACAGACUGCUGUCCCUCUCUGUUAGGGACAGACCUCCAGAUCCGUGGUGCAGCAGCCUGUAUUUCUGGCAGUGCUGGGCUGCUUAUGCAUUGUCAGCUCUUUAAUCCUGUCUCCCCCAGCUCUCCUUUUCCACCCAUCCUCUCCCUUUGCUGACCGUCCUCCCACAGUUUGUUUAGCAAGGCACAGGGUGAGUGGCAGGUGCCUGUGCCUCGUGUCCUCCCGGGGGUCUCGCCAGCGAAAGGCGCUCAGGUGGGUGGCUGCUGAGAAUAAACUACCUCUUCGAUUUACAUCUUCAUCUAGGAAGGAGGGGAGUGUUACCUACUCCUGUGUGUGUAGGUUCAGUGAACCUGGAAGUUCCCUGUGACCACUGCUGUGUGUAGAGGUGCAGUCAGCACAAGCUGGUGGCCAGUGGGAACUCGGCCGUGCUGCGGGAAGCAGUGCAGUCCCAGGGAUGGUAGGAGGGAGAUGUAUCAGACUGGGAAACACUCCAGAAACUGCUCUCAGCCCAUGUGCACAGCCAUAAGCUGCAGGGUGCACACCCCACAGCUGUGUUUAGUGGUUGGAACAUGGGGCUGGCACCUGAGGCAAUGUAACUGCACGUGUCUGCAGUGUCAUUCAGACUACUGCUGACCUGCAAUAAAGCAAACAUAUAGAAUAAUGCAAACACAUCAGCUGUGGUGGCAGGAAAUCACAGCUUGAAACAAUGCAGCCGCACCACAGUAAUGCUGUUGUGUCACCUGCAGGGGUCCAAACACACUGUGUUGUCUUCAGCAGCCGUAUUGGCAGAGCAGAAGUACACCUAUUGCACCCUGAGAUGAAUGUACACCAGAUGUCACGAUACAGUCAGGUGGAGCGGCUUGUAAACAUGUAGAAGUAGCUUACGAAAGCAAAUGCCUUUCCAUACAGGCUAGUUAAGAGCUAGACCUCUCUGCACUAGUACAACUACACCACGAGUAACGCGUAAUCAUAUUGCAGAGGACAAUGUAAGCAUGCUGUGUGUCCCGAAACAACCCCAGUGUGUUGUGGAACAACAGGAUUGUACUUCACGAGAACACACGAUGCUCAGUGCAGUGCUGCGGUGACACAGCCCUAUUGACUUCGCUAUCAUGACCGGAUGACAGUCUGUUGUCAGUCAGCAAAUUACAUCAGCUGCAGGAACAACUGCAUGAAUUGCAAUGACAGUACAAUACAGCCACCAACCAGCAGCUACUUCACUGAAACAACAUUGCUGCGUGCGGUGACACAGACAUACCGCCUUCCCAGCCACCUCUUUGAAGAGCCUAAUGGCCUCAAGUGUAGUGGGGCAGCGUAGCAAGCAGUGAUACACCUAAUCUCAUCAUUAGUGUCACGAGCCCACAACAUGAUAACCACAGUCACACUGUCUGCAAAGACACACCGGUGGCACUGACAAUGACAUGGAGGCACCUGAAAUGUCACAACCACUGCUCCUAAACGAUAUAAUCAUUGCUGCUCUGAACAACACAAAUGGGAUAAUACUUGCAUUGACACACUCAGCUGCUGUAUAUUGCUUAAAAACUGGGACCGCUGUGAACACAUUAUACACCUCUCCUCUCGGCACUACUUUUCACUGGAACAAUUCAAUUAAAAAUUUUCCAAAAACACCUUUCUGGACUGGGACUGCUGCAGCUCUCCCUGCCUCACACUCCACCCAGAGGAGGCAUUUCUGCCUUCCCAGUAGGAACAUAGACAUCAUGGCCAGGUAGGAAAAUCCCCAUGCUGAUUGCUGUCAAAACCGUGCCCUGCAGUCAGAGUCCUGUCAUUUGGACUGAGAGAAGAGAAAGCCACCUGUAACAAAAGUAAUGCUUCUCAGCAGAGAUGCCGAGAUAAUAAGAGUCAGGAAAUGAUGUGUGCAGCACCGAGGUGAAGCAUAGCACCGCAGUGACACUGCCUGUUCUGCAGCUACAGGACCGACAGUGCAAGUGCUCCUUGUGCUGCAUGCAGUUCCUUGCUCUGAGCAGCUCAGUGCCAUGGCCUGCAGCCCUGUUCUGAGGAGCAGGUGAAUCGCCUGCAUCGAUACACCCAUACUCUUUGAAAAACACCACCUGACCUGCUGAAAUGGUGGUGACCCUCCACUGUCCCCUGCACUGACGCAGCCCUGCCUCACUUGCUUCAGCGUAAAUCACUCUGAUCAUCAAAGUGACAGGUGAAGAGAGGAAAGGAGGAACUUCUGCCUUCCAAGGUUCGCUCCCCCAUCUCCGCUGGGGAUUCCUUUACUGCAAACAGCCUGAGUAUUAUUGCCAUUUACAGUAGCAAUCACUCCAUCCCCUCCUCUCCCACAAACCUACUGCCGAUAUUAGCACUGAUCAUACUAACAAGCCUGUGGGUUUUAUUACUGCUGAUACUAAUAAUACUGGACACAUUACGUCUGCUCCCACCAAUAACAGGCUGCAGAUAUGAUCCCUGCUAAUGCCGAUAAUACUGGGGGAUAUUAUCUCUGCCAUUGUCAGCACUGCAGAUAUUAUUGCCAGUAAUGCUGUCAAAUACUACAGAUAUUGUCAGGGACCAAGAUUAAUAAUGCUGAGAAUUGUUACAGCACUAGCCUCCCUGGAACACGAAUCCCAAAUGAGAAUUUGGGUCUAUGGAGGAAGUAUGUUUGUGGCCUGCUAUUGAAGAGGAAGAGCUAUCUUUAAUCAUAGUGGUUUUGUAAAGAUACCUGAAGUUUGACACAGCUGGAGAUGCUACAGUAUGCAGGGAACAGCUGGAAACAUUGUUCUCAUAUUAUCUAACUGGCUAUCUAUCUAUCCACGUAUCUAUCCUCUCCCAUUUUCUCUUUAUAUAGUACUCAAUAUUACAGUAUUGGACUGCUACUGAUUUUUUGUUAGUGCCACUGCUACCCCAGUUCUAAUCCUUUUAGCUAUCAGUCAGGGAGUUAUGGAACAACAGAAAUAUUUGCAUAUUGUUUUCCCCCUUUAUCCUCCUGGACUUCUCAUUGCUGCUCCCGAGUCUGACAAUGACCCUGCUCAGCUUGGCCUGCCACACCACGUAGUGCAAUAUCAGGGUUGUGAGGAGCCAGGGAUUCCUGCUUGGGACUAAAGCUCUCGGUGGUCUUGGGAAAGGCCUAACAUGCUGCUGGGCCACCUCUGCCUCUGCAAGGUGGUGGAUGCAAUUGGUGGAAAAGGUCAGAGGGGAAUUACAGAAAUGCUGGCUGGGCCUGCAGCCUGCAAGGAAUGGCACACAGCUAGACAAGUGGUGGUUAACUUGUUUAGCCAAACCAUCUGCAAAAUCAGAGGAGGCCAGUUCUCUGCUUUGUCUAAUCUGGCACUGAGGUCAGGAAACAAAAGGGAUACAGGUUCUUAACAGGGAAAGUCCUGACCAUGCUUCCAAGGCACUCACCUGAAGAAGACAAAUGAGUUUUGGGGAAAAACGCGUGAUUGGGCAGUUCUUUGUUUGGACCAGGACACACUCAGAUCUAUGUCCCUGGUAGCUCUCUCUCAAUGCCAUUGUCUUCCCAGGCCACCCGGUUGGUAGAAGCCAGAACAUUUGGUACACUGGGACUUCCCCUCUUCCCUCUAACUCCCUGGGAGGGACACACCUGGCUGUCAGCGUCCAUCGCUGAGCCCACCUCAUGCAUCCGUCUGGUUCCUUCUGUCCAACUCGGGAGUUCUGCUACAUCAUCUUGACACAUAAUUAUCUCUCCUCUUCUUAAUCAUCUGCGCUGCUGUCUAAUGUAGGCACCAGCUGCAGCGAGGAGGACCUGGGGGAGGGGGCGUGCUCAGAUUGAAGCUACUCUGUCUUUCUCCCACCCUGUUCCCCCAGCCAUCACAGAAGUUGCUAACAAGGUGUUCAGGGCUGGGGAUUCAGGAGCACCUAGGUACUUCCCCUCUUUCUGCUGAACUGCAUUCCUCACAAAGCGUCAUCUUGCAGCAGAGCUGGCCCAAUGGAGCAGAAAGAAAGAGAGCGCAGUGCUGCUGCUUCUGCCUUCUUUAGGGAAGGGCCACCUCCAGAAGGCUGGGAAAGUAAAUGUGCAUUGAGAGCCUGUAAGGAAGAGCUUUUCAACACGAGAAUGAAUCCUACAGUUAAGAAACUGCAACAAGACAGAGCUUAGAAGCUCUGGGAAAUACCGAGAAGGUAUAUAUAUCCAGCAUGAGCAUGAAGGAAAUACCUGCACUGGUCUUCUGGACUUGCUUUCUUAACUCCUGUCUCAGCUAGGAGCACUCAGCCCUCAGAGCUACGGGGGAGGAUGCCCAGGAAGGACUGCAGGUCACUGGCUGUGCAACACCUCCCCUUGGACCUUCUAGCAUUAGGGCCCAGCCCUGCAGAGUGGUUGAUGUCUUUCAAUGUUUCUUAAAGCCAGUGUGAGCACAGGUUAUCAGCUCUUGGAUGGGGAUGUUCAGCAGCUGGCUGAGGUUUCUCUGGGGCAGGAGUGUGACAUCUCCCUGAGGCAGAUACCUGGGGUGGCAGAAUGAAGGCUCUUCUGCAAGGCAUUUGCAGUUGUGUCAUGUAACUGGCACCUAAAACUCUGAGAUUUAACACCCCCAUGACUGUCUGAUACCUUUUUGAUUUUUCUAGUAGGUUAUGCGGGCUCCUGGCCAACAGCAGGGAGUUGCAGUGUUUCUUGCCCUUCAUAAAUCAAGUCCAGGAUGAAUUAAGGACAGAGACAGAGAGUUGUUCUUACUGUCAAUAUAUCAUUGUGAAGUGUCACAGGCUUAGAUGUCUGUUUGAUUGUUUCUGUGUUUAACCAUACUGCUCCAAAAAGCUCAGGUUCUGGGGCUGGCAAUGAUUGCGUGGCUGCAUCUAAGUAGGAUGAUUGUUCCAGGUGUUUGGAAAGAAUAGCUGCUAAAGCUGGAUUGAACUGCUUCAUUUCAAAAUGAAAUAUGGACGCACCGUGGUGAGAGCUUGUGAUCACCAAGCUGGAAUGCAUGAGGACAGGGGUUCACAGAAACCCCAAAUACUGCCAAGAGAUUUGCACAAUCAUUAGAGAAACUUGUCACUCGAUUUGAAAUGUCACUGUUCCCUCUGUAUGUAAUGAAGAGAAAUGCUGGAGAGGCUUGCAAUGUUUGCAGUCUCUUACUUGUGACAUUUUUUGACUUUGAGGCAUUGACUGAGCCCUUCCAUUGCUACACUUUUCUCUUAGCUGGGCCCUACUGCCAUCUAGCUGGGAAAUGGAUCUUCCUCUGGGGCCUGAUCCAAUUUCCAAUGGCAUCAGCAAAAAUCUUCCCAUUUGCUUUGAUAGGAACUGAAGUGGGUCUUUGCUUCCAGCCUCUGGUUUUACUUUGUAUGAGGGAGAAAGGGGUCACAAUGUCUGCCUUUUUCUUGGGACUAUUGUUUAUUUGGAUCCAGAACUUAGAAACGUGAACCUCACCAGCACCAACGCUGAGAAAAUGACUGGCAUAACCCCAGAGUGCAGCAUCUCUCUCAGGAGAACUCUCUCCUCUCGCCAUGAAUCACAGAGACCCUGGUAUUAUGUCACCCCACACAGCCUGGGGGCUACAGCACGCGCAGCACAGCGAGCCACCAUUACUGCUGAGAUGUCCCCCACGCAAUGGGCAGCAGUGGAAAACAACAUCCUGAAGCCAGGGCUGAACCGAACAAACUGCUCAGGCACUACUCAGAAAGUUCACCACCUGGUCCUCAGUUUUUGAAUGCAUCAAAUUAGAAGAGCAAGACAAAAUUUUACAAAGCCACCAUCAAUGCACCAAGACCUCACCCACCCAUCCUGACUGUCUAUCUGGACCCAAGGCUCCAGCUUCUGGCUCAUUUUGGGAUUCACUUUGCCCUGAGUCCUUCCCAACAGGUAGGAAAGAGAAGGAGACAGCUUAAUCCUAGUUACUUAGAGCCCUACUGAAAGGCUUGGAUAACAUCCUUAGGGCCACAGCACUCAGAAGAGCUCCCACUCUGCUCUCUGAUGGUUGUGAGCAUGGCAGUUCUGCUGUGGUGGUUGCUACCUAUUGGAAACUGGGCCCUUCUGAUCACCACAGCUGGUGUAGUUCAUGGCUCACCACCAGGACAGGAGCUUGUUUGCAAGAGGAAUGAGAAAUACUCCCAAAUUGCUGGUGCUUCUCUCAGAUGGCAUUUUGUUUGAAAACGAGGGAGUCGGGGAAACCUUGUUUACCCACAGCUCAAAGUCUGGGCACCUGCUGGCACCAGGAGAGCUCAGUUCCAGCCGUUUCCAGCAGUGAAUGAACUUGGGAUCAGCUCCAGCAAUGGAGACGGCUCUAUGCCUGCCGAGCAGAUGUCCGGAGACACGGCCUGUCAUGAAAAGGCCUCGGAAGAACAGCAGUCCGAGCCAGCAGGGCAGUGGCGGGGAACUGGUCUCUGUUGCUAAAACUGAUCUAGCCCCUGGAGCAGCUGCAAACCUCGGCCUGAAAUUGGAGCCUGUACAUGGGGACAAAGAAUAUAAAAGGGAGGGUGAGCUUCUGCCCUCCCCCUACCUUCAUCACGUUUCCUCUUCUCGCCAUUCGACCGAGGAAUCCCCAGGAUCCCGUUAAUGGAGUAAGAGCCCACUGGAUCAUUGGAGGCACUGGAGACGGGAGGGGAUGCUGUGCUGGGCACUGGACAAAAGGAAAAGGGAAAAAGGGCCAUGAGGAGAGCAGCCAGCACUCAGGGAUCCCCCAGAUGAAAGCUACACAUGCCACCAGUCUCACAGGAAUGCCUGGGCACUAAACCAACUCCCAGUCCCUCACACUGCAGGACUCACGCUACUACUGCUCUGCCAACACUGCUGCAUCCCAGCUUUGCCAGCCUGUACCAUAGCUCCACAGCCUUCCAGUACAGGGCCCGUAAUAACAAGCCAGCACACUCCAGCCAGAAGCUAAGCCUCGUUGUUCCAUCCACCUUCAGAGCAGGCUUUGCAGUGCUUGCCACGUAACUGCGUGCAGUGCUGCACAGGCCACAUCCCCUGGUGACUUCCCAGGCUACCCAUGUUCUGCCAGAUGGAUCCCUCCCAGCAUUUCUCCACGCUGUGUGCAUGUACUCUGUCUUAGCCAGACCAGCCUCUUAGGUGUCCACACAAAACACUCAAUGAAAAAUCAACUUUUCUUAGUAUAGGUUAGAAGCUUGUCAGUGUUGGGCCAAUAAAUC